GGUACUAGGNNNGGGGGACAUUCCACGUUUCUCUGUGCCGUAGCUAACGCAUUAAGUACCCCGCCUGGGGAGUACGGCCGCAAGGCUAAAACUCAAAGGAAUUGACGGGGCCCCGCACAAGCGGCGGAGCAUGCGGAUUAAUUCGAUGCAACGCGAAGAACCUUACCUGGGUUUGACAUAUAUCGGAAACGUUCAGAGAUGGGCGCCCCGUAAGGUCGGUAUACAGGUGGUGCAUGGCUGUCGUCAGCUCGUGUCGUGAGAUGUUGGGUUAAGUCCCGCAACGAGCGCAACCCUCGUCCAAUGUUGCCAGCGGGUUAUGCCGGGGACUCAUUGGAGACCGCCGGGGUCAACUCGGAGGAAGGUGGGGAUGACGUCAAGUCAUCAUGCCCCUUAUGUCCAGGGCUUCACGCAUGCUACAAUGGCCGGUACAAAGAGUUGCGAGCCUGUGAGGGUGAGCGAAUCUCAAAAAGCCGGUCUCAGUUCGGAUUGGGGUCUGCAACUCGACCCCAUGAAGUCGGAGUCGCUAGUAAUCGCAGAUCAGCAACGCUGCGGUGAAUACGUUCCCGGGGCUUGUACACACCGCCCGUCAAGUCAUGAAAGUCGGUAACACCCGAAGCCGGUGGCCUAACCCGUUUGGGGGGGAGCUGUCGAAGGUGGGACUGGUANNNNNNACUAAGUCGUAACAAGGUAACC
rnacentral:rRNA from 1 species